rnacentral:rRNA from 1 species
AUUGAACGCUGGCGGCAGGCCUAACACAUGCAAGUCGAGCGGGGUUUUCGGACCUAGCGGCGGACGGGUGAGUAAUGCGUAGGAAGCUACCCGAUAGAGGGGGAUACCAGUUGGAAACGACUGUUAAUACCGCAUAAUGUCUACGGACCAAAGUGUGGGACCUUCGGGCCACAUGCUAUCGGAUGCGCCUACGUGGGAUUAGCUAGUUGGUGAGGUAAUGGCUCACCAAGGCGACGAUCUCUAGCUGGUUUGAGAGGAUGAUCAGCCACACUGGAACUGGGACACGGUCCAGACUCCUACGGGAGGCAGCAGUGGGGAAUAUUGGACAAUGGGCGCAAGCCUGAUCCAGCCAUGCCGCGUGUGUGAAGAAGGCCUUCGGGUUGUAAAGCACUUUCAGUAGGGAGGAAGCGUUGUGUGUUAAUAGUACACAGCGUUGACGUUACCUACAGAAGAAGCACCGGCUAACUCUGUGCCAGCCGCCGCUGUAACAC